rnacentral:tRNA from 2 species
GGGGGUAUAGCUCAGGGGUAGAGCACUUGACUGCAGAUCAAGAAGUCCCUGGUUCAAAUCCAGGUGCCCCCU